CCACACCAAAGGGAAUAAUAAGGGAGAUAAGAGACGAGAUGCGCAAGAUUCAUGGUUCAGAUUCCACAUACACAUCAUAGGUGGUCUCCAAACAGCUACGCUUCGAUUGAUCAUUCCCCAUCUACAUAUAUCAAAGGCUAUCUCAAAACACAAUCAUUUAAGAUCACCAGCUAAAAACCUGUGCAAUCUACCAUUAACCUCAAUCAUGCUACAACCAACUGUUUUACUAAUCCCUGCAUCAUUCAUCACAGCCCUCCAUCAUGGAUUUUAUAUGAUUUUAUAUAUUAAGAAGGUUUUUGUUAGAUUUGUGCUUUAGUAGGAGUUUAAAACAUAAUUCCUGCUAUGUUCUUGGAAAUUGGUACAGGAAAAAAAAGAUGGCGUGGACAGAAGACCAGACCAUUUCUUAAAGGAAGCGCUCCUGCCCAAUUAGCAUUUUUUGCAAGCUGAAUACCCUAUGUGUGCAUCUGCAGCAUAUCACAUGCACAGCCAUGAAAUCCUACCUGAUCACCUAAGAAGAAGAUGCCCAUGAAUUUUUAAGGUAUGCUAUUGAUACAAUGCAAUUUGUGUGCCUUAAGGAAGCUGGUGCAAAUGCAACAGACCCUUUGGCAGGGGAAACUACUCUUAUACAACUGAUUUUCGGGGGUUACCUUCGAUCUAAGGUGCGUGAAAUGCCAAGGCAAGUCUGAGAAGCAUGAACGGAUGAUGGAUCUAACUGUUGAGAUACAUGGUGAUAUUGGAACUCUUGAAGAAGCACUUGCACAAUUUACGGCUACUGAAAUCUUGGAUGGUGACAAUAAAUACCACUGUAGCAGGUUGUUUGGUGCUUGUCUGUUUUGACUUAAAGAUGUAUAUUGUAGUCAAUAGGUGCCAGGAAUGACAUAAUGCCAAUCAUCAUUGUCUAAACCUUAUCCCGACUAAUUGGGUUUGGCUACAUGAAUCUUGUUUUGCCAUUCACUCGAUCAAGGACCAUAUCGUCAGUUAAACUGUAGGUGUAGGAGAAUCUUCCCAUGGUGGGGCUGAUUUUGUAGCCAUGGACACAAAGAAGAGGGGGUGGGAAGGUGGGCCAGAAGCAGCCAGUUCAUAGGAAGUCCAUUGAUACAUUUGGGCUGAGAACAUCACAGUAUAGAGGUGUUACAAGGUUAGUAGGAGCCCUCUUUCUCUCUUCUUGUUUUUUGGUUGAGUUUUUUGAACAAAGGAAUUGCAUUUAUUUACGAUACGCAUCUGAAAUCUUCUAAAGGGCUUCUUUUUUUUUUUUUUUUCUUUUGGUAGUGGUGGUUUCUUUGUUUGUUGAAGAUUUCUCCGUGUCCGUAGGCGAUAUUUUAUAAGAUAGAGAGACGAAGGGACGGAGAUAAUGAUAGGAGAAAAUGGAGUAAAGAAAUAGUUGGUUUUUCCUCUAUCGCGAUUUAGGUGCAGCAUCUGUCGCCGCCCUCGGAGGCCCACAAGAUGAGUGUUUCAAUCAUCGGAACCAUUCAUGUUCUAGAAUGUAUGAUAAAUGAGCCAGAUUAAGAAACUUGCACAGAAUGAGUGUUUGUGACUAUCCAUGUCUAAUUUUGAGUUUAGAACAAUGAAAAAAUGAUUUUCAAUUGGUCGCAUUUAACUCCAAAACUCAGGAAGUGGAUUGCGUCCUG